CGGAGGGUGCAAGCGUUGUCCGGAUUUAUUGGGUGUAAAGGGUGUGCAGGCGGGACGGUAAGUCAGAGGUGAAAGCCCGCAGCUUAACUGUGGAAUUGCCUUUGAUACUGCCGACCUUGAGUCCCGGAGAGGUGGCUGGAAUUCGUGGUGUAGCGGUGAAAUGCGUAGAUAUCACGAGGAACACCAAAGGCGUAGGCAGGUCACUGGACGGUACUGACGCUGAGGCACGAAAGCGUGGGGAGCAAACAGGAUU
rnacentral:rRNA from 1 species